rnacentral:lncRNA from 1 species
GAAAACUCUAAAUAUUACACUUAUGAAAGUCACUAACUUGUAUUAAAAAAUGUUUAUUUUUAGUUUGGAAGAAAGAAGAAGAAAUUUAGAGGGAGUAUAAGUAGCAAAUCAGAUUCUAAUCAUGUAAAUGAGAAAAAAUUGGAUGUUAAGCCUGAAAAAGAAAUAAAUAAAACCAAAAUUGAAUCUGAAGAAGAAAAAUUAGAAGAGGAGGAGGAUGAUGAUGAAGAAGAUGAUGAAGAUCUUUCAAAGUAUGAUUUAAGUGGAUGGGGAGAUGAUUCACCCAAAAAAAAUGAUAAGAAUUCUGUUUCACAUUCAAGAUCAUCAUCGUCAUCAUCAGAAUCACGUUCAAGAUCUUCCAGCAGUGCUUCUACAUCCUCCAAUUCUGCCAGAUCUCAAUCGUCCUCCCCAUCACGCUCCAGAUCUCGUUCAGCCACACCUGUUCAUGGUCUGGCUAAAAGAAUCAAGAGAACAAACUCCAGGUCCAGGUAACAGGGGAGGGUGGUAAUGGUUAAAAGAUCCAGUUCACAUGAUUCUAGAUCCAGAAGCAGGCGUCGUAGAUCACAGUCUAGGAGUCGUUCACCACUCAACUAUCCUCGUUCAAGAUCUAGGGACAGUGAAAGGU